GUUCAGACUGACAACACAAGUCAAGGAGCUGAGGGGAACAAGGAGGACGUCCACCAGAGGUCCAUAGAUGUGAAAGUCCUACUGAUUCCUUGGGGCAUGUUGGUGGUGGUGACAGCUGGUAUCCUAGUCACAUGGAAGAUGUGGACAAAGCAUAAGGACAAUAAGGCCAAGGACCAGACAACUAACAACUCAGUGUCUGCUGACCCUGAGCAGGA